rnacentral:misc_RNA from 1 species
GAAGAGUACGGUCUCCAAUCUUUUCAAAUCCCAUGGAUUUCCCGUCGUUGACGCCGAUCUAGUCGCUCGGGUAUGCCCUUCUCUUCUCAUUUGCAUCUCCAAAUAGAGAACUUCUCUAAAGAGUUUUUUUUCCCAUAUUCGAUUUAGCGAAUUAACCUGACUCAGGGGGAAUUAAGAAUGCGAUUGUUUUAAUUUGAGCUUGGCCGGUUGAUUUUUUCAUCAUGUCUUGAUUGAUGCUUGUUUCUCUUUUAAAUUGCUAGGAUUGGAUUGGAAGGCAUUUCAUUGUUCCAGUGAUAGUGCUGAAUGUUUGAUAUAUUCAGCAAUUUGUUUUCACUGAAUAUUUCAAAGGUUUUAUUCAAUUAAACUGAAUUAGAGUAGAUUGUUACUAUUUUCAAUUAGCCAUAAUAAUUUUAAGUGGUAUUUGAUCAUUUAAAUGAUAGGUUAUUAAAAAUCAAGACCAGGCUAUGUCACUAGUUGCUGAAAUUUUUACAAGUUUAUGCCUAUUAUCACGGCAUGGUAACAUCAUCGUUGAAUUUGCCUUAUUGAUUCAUAUUUGAUUUUCCACUAGAAGUUUUGUAUGCCUUGUCAUUUUUCUUGAACUUCUCUUUAUAGUAUUCUGGUACACUCUGCAGUAUGUUCUAAAGAAAGACACUGGUGGCUAUAAUGAGGUUGUUGCAGCAUUUGGAGAGG